ACUCCUACGGGAGGCAGCAGCUAAGAAUAUUCCGCAAUGGACGGAAGUCUGACGGAGCGACGCCGCGUGGAUGAAGAAGGCUGAAAAGUUGUAAAAUCCUUUUGUUGAUGAAGAAUAAGGGGAAGAGGGAAUGCUUCUCUGAUGACGGUAAUCGGCGAAUAAGCCCCGGCUAAUUACGUGCCAGCAGCCGCGGUAACACGUAAGGGGCGAGCGUUGUUCGGAAUUAUUGGGCGUAAAGGGCAUGUAGGCGGUUGUAUAAGCCUGAUGUGAAAUCCUGAGGCUUAACCUCAGAAUAGCAUUGGGUACUGUAUAGCUUGAAUUACGGAAGGGAAACUGGAAUUCCAAGUGUAGGGGUGGAAUCUGUAGAUAUUUGGAAGAACACCGGUGGCGAAGGCGGGUUUCUGGCCGAUAAUUGACGCUGAGAUGCGAAAGUGUGGGGAUCGAACAGGAUUAGAUACCCCAGUAGUCC
rnacentral:rRNA from 1 species